AAACCGAAAUUGUGUCUUCUGCCA
rnacentral:siRNA from 1 species